ACUGGGAUUUCACAUCCAACGCAUCUCUCGCAUAAGAAUACUUUCUUUGACAUAACGUAAGCAGAGGAUACUCAUAAAUCAUUAAAAUAUUUUUUAAAACAGUUAAUUUAGCUGAAAUACAUAAUAUAUGUAUCCAUAGUAGCGCAGUGGCUGAUGUAAUAGUGAUGUAAUGAGGCCACAGGUGUAUGCUUGUAAAGUAAUUUACAACAGCUUCAAGCCUGGCUCAGCCAAUCAGAAUCAAGAACCAGAAUUAUCAGCUUCAUAAAUUACAAAACUCGUGCAGCGGUAAACACCAUGCUAAAGCCACAAGUCUCCACAUCAUUACUCUAGAUAAAAAAUGUGAUCUGCAUACCAAACAGUCUUCAGCUGUAACCUUCUGCUCCUCCUUACUGAAUACUGAUUCAGUCAUCCCAAGCACAUGUUGAGUAAAUCCCACAGUCACAGCCCAAGGCCGUCCUCCUUGAACUCUAAUCUCAGAACAUCUCUUAUCGACGAUGCUGAACGACAUGAUUAAAAAGGAGCCAGGACAAUCCAGCCUUCCACUUGGGAUCUCCUUUUCUCCACGGCCUCUGUCAAUCACCCAGGUAUCUUCCAUAUGGCUUUGCCAGGGCGGCCAAUUAGGCAGUUUCAGCAGUCACCUCUGUGGUGCAUUAAGCACCCUGUGGACAUUAGAGAUUCUGUCUGUAGAGCCUGUGUAUGGUAAUGAGAAGAGGUAAAGAGAAAGUCUUCUGGAAGCCCAAGAACUCACUUGGUUCUUUUCUUUUUUUAUCUUUUUUUAAAGCUGUUAAGAGAUGCUGGCUGUUCUCGCUCCGACUGCCACUCCAAAAAGCAAAUGGCCUGGGGCUCCGGAACUUCAGCCCCCAUUAGCAAUGAAACAAAUCACAGCGGUUGCAAAGGCCUACCUGUGAAAUGUGCACCAUUUGUCUCCGAUGAACUUCUCUCUGAGCCUGGAAGCUUAUUUGCGGAGGUGGAAUCCUUCAAAAGUGUACAGACAUCUACACAUAUCGACUUAAGACCGGCAGAGAGGAAGAGAAACGCCGUCGGACUGAUGAAGCUUUGAAAGCUCAUGGACGUACAGCGGUGAAGCUGAGGGUAGUAUCAGGGAAUUGAUGUCGACAAUGCUAAUUUUCAGGUCUGGCAAACUGGAGAAAGCAGUGAAACAGAAAAUAGAAAAAUGAAAGGCAAGCUCCUGCUCACAGAGUAUCCUUCAUCAUGCAACCAUAUCUCAAAACAACAACUAGCAAUUUCACACAGUAAUUGACAAACAUUUUGCCGAAAUUAGACGCAGGGAAACAACCUUUUGUUCAGUUGUUUUUCUUUUUGUGUCCUAGCUGUCCAUGAUGGCAAAGUAGGAUUAAAGGUGUAGCUCGGUUCGGUUUG